GUCAGUAUCCCAGCUCUAUUCCUAGAGAUAUGAUUUCCAUGUAUGAGAAUCCCAGCCCUAUUCCUAGAGAUAUGAUUCCCCUGUGUGAGUAUCCCAGUCCUAUUCCUAGAUAUAUGAUUCCCCUGUGGAUUAUCCCAGCCCUAUUCCUAGAGAUAUGAUUCCCCUGUGUGAGUAUCUCAGCCCUAUUCCUAUAGAUAUGAUUCCCCUGUGUGAGUAUCCCAGCCCUAUUCCUAUAGAUAUGAUUUCCCCAUGUUCGUAUCCCAGCCCUAUUCCUAGAAAUAUGAUUCCGCUGUGUGAGUAUCCCAGUCCUAUUCCUAGAGAUAUGAUUCCCCUAUGUGAGUAUCCCAGCCCUAUUCCUAGAGAUAUGAUUC